CGCACACGUUUUGUGGCGCCUAGAGGCGGCUGCCUACUGCCCCAGCUGAUAACUUGUAUAUAACCUUCACCAGUACAUCGAGAUAAUAAAACACACAAACAGGUUAUUCUCUACUUAAACUGUGCGAGAACAGUGGGAACAGGGUGAACGAUGCACACAAAGUGACUGGCUUCGCGGCUGCCCGUGUGUACUACAGAGUGCCAUAUGCUGUCUCCUGAAAGCUGAAGGGAGGGGAUUUCUCCUCACGGACGGGCCGGGAUCACUGCAGCAUCGCCGCGGCCCUGAUACGGACACAGCAGCUCUACUCUCUUCAGGGUCUUUAGGAGGACAAGGAGACUGGAGAGUUAUUUGUGUGUUGCCAGGACUGUAGGAUCAUAGAUUCUCAGAUACAUUAUUACUUAUUUCCCCUUCUCUGUCAACAAUGAAAGGCUCUCCUAUACAUAAAAUGAGAGGCAUUGGAUUAUGUGUGUUCCUUUCAUUUAAAUAAAAAAUACAGAACAUGA